GUCCUAGCCGUAAACGGUGUGCACUUGCUGUGGGUGGAUUUAUCCCCUCCCGUGGCGAAGCUAACGCGAUAAGUGCACCGCCUGGGGAGUACGGUCGCAAGACUAAAACUCAAAGGAAUUGACGGGGGCCCCGCACAAGCGGUGGAGCAUGUGGCUUAAUUCGAUGCAACGCGAAGAACCUUACCUGGGUUUGACAUGUGGCUGCAGGCCCCGUGAAAGCGGGGCGGCCUUCGAGGGUGCCACACAGGUGCUGCAUGGCUGUCGU
rnacentral:rRNA from 1 species